rnacentral:lncRNA from 1 species
GAUGAAUAAUAUAUUUUGUCAAGGAUUUGCAUCUCUUUGAUAGGUACCUCUCUAUAGUCCUUUUCGAGAAAAUUUGUCCAUUUUUAUUUAAACUUUGAUAAUCUUGUGGUCAAUUGAUAGUCGUGAAAACAAUUGUCAAUUAUCCUUCACCGAUCUCCACUAACAUUAGUGAAUCUUAAUGGCAAUUGACAAAUCCCCAGCAACAAUGAUCACUUUUCUUCAAUAUUGACCAAUCUAACACUUCAGACAAAAUGUUACGUGAAAUUGACUGAUAUGACACAUGAUUGACCAAUUUAGAAGACAUUUGACUAGAACUAGAGAGCCUGAAAGAAUGGGUGCUAGGGAGGAUCUAAAUUGGUGUAGUGACUGAUAUUUGUCUAGUAAAUAAUCGUGGAAUGAUGCACACACGACUUUAACCCGGCCG